rnacentral:rRNA from 2 species
UAGAGUUUUUGAUCCUGGCUCAGGAUGAACGCUGGCGGCGUGCCUAAUACAUGCAAGUCGAGCGAACAGAUGAGAAGCUUGCUUCUCUGAUGUUAGCGGCGGACGGGUGAGUAACACGUGGGUAACCUACCUAUAAGACUGGGAUAACUCCGGGAAACCGGGGCUAAUACCUGAUAAUAUUUUGAACCGCAUGGUUCAAUAGUGAAAGACGGCUUCGGCUGUCACUUAUAGAUGGACCCGCGCCGUAUUAGCUAGUUGGUAAGGUAAUGGCUUACCAAGGCAACGAUACGUAGCCGACCUGAGAGGGUGAUCGGCCACACUGGAACUGAGACACGGUCCAGACUCCUACGGGAGGCAGCAGUAGGGAAUCUUCCGCAAUGGGCGAAAGCCUGACGGAGCAACGCCGCGUGAGUGAUGAAGGUCUUAGGAUCGUAAAACUCUGUUGUUAGGGAAGAACAAAUUUGUUAGUAACUGAACAAGUCUUGACGGUACCUAACCAGAAAGCCNCGGCUAACNAAC